GCUUGCUGGGGAAAGUGUGUCACUGUGGGAGCAGGCUUUGAGGUCUCCUCGGCUCAAGCUAUGCCCAGUAUGGCGCACAGCCGUGGGAUCAGGAGACAGAGCUCUCAGGUCCUUCUCCAGCACCAGCCUGCACACUGCUACAUUUGCUGCCUGAUGAUCAAAUGGAUGAACCUCUGAAACUGGAAGAGUUGCCUCGGUCACAGUCUCUUCACAGCAAUAGAAACCCUAACUAAGUCCCUUCUCUAAGGGCCUCAUGAAACAUGUGGACAAGGACAGCUGGUACAGAAGGACGCUGGGGUUCUGAUGCUGGCCCUCAAGACCUGGAUAUACCUGUACUUGUAUAAACCUGCCUAACACAUGAUACCUGAUCGGUUGAUUAAAUGGACUACACCUCGGCAGGGCAGAAUGGGGUGGGGAUAUGAAAUGAGGACGACAGGUCAUUCAGCAAGAAAGGUCACAUGACUAGGAGGAUCAACUGUUCACAACAGCCCUGGAGAAGAGCGUCAAGUGUUGACUCUUUGGCGACGAGAACAUCCUGAGGGCUAAGACCAGCAUGCCCCUGGCUUCCUUGAGAUUUGCUCUUAUCUACGUGUGUGGCUCUCACCAUGAGGUGCUGCAGCCCCCAACCUGACAGCCCCAGCCUGAUACCUGAUCAUGGCCUGAAGCCUUGAGCCCAGACGAACCUUUCUACUUGGAAGUAGUUGGUCAUCCCGGGUAAUUUUUAUAGCAAAAAUGGAGCCGACUAAAGAACAUCACUGAAAUUGCGCUUAACAUUCGAUAUAUUAGAUUCCGUGAUCCAUAGUGUUGUGAAGACGCACUCCAGGCACAUGUAUUGUAAGGACACUAAAGCUAUGCACGGGCUUGAGAGAAACAAUUCUCUAUCACAUAAUUCUUGAUGGCAGCCUGGAGGAAAUAAGAGGUGUUGACAGCCACAUGCCUGGCAUCCAGCAAUCUGGCAUCUGUGUUUUCUAUGGUGAGCUGGGAAAGUUUCCAGGAUGUUCUCGAGCGGACUUCUGAGGAGACUUUUUAGACUCUACAAGCCAAUCAGAGGAGAAGCCCGUGUGGCCAGGCUCCUCUCAGCAGCCACACGUACUUCUGGGCGGGGGUCGGCUGUUGCCCUUCUUGAGAUGUCAUCCGUUCAGAAACAACCUGCUGUGCACUAACCUGUGUUUGUGAAGCAACGAGCACCGCCUCCCUGGUUCUCCGCAUCACUGCAUCUUUAGUAAGAAAUGAAAUUUACCAAAAGCCAACGACAGAAACGGGAAAACAAAAUGGGAGGACUUUCCAAAACAAACCAAUUUCAGAAGAAAUAACGAACUUCAAAUAGGCUUCUGAGCCCUCAAUAACUAAUGCGCGCCCACAUUGGCCUGUGGUCCUCAGAGCCAGUUUAUCUAAAGGUCCAGUCCUGGGACUCCGUGUCAGAUCUUCUAAAUCCCUCUGAACAGGAAAACAGCACAGGAUGGUAAAAACAGUGCCAGGAGAGUCACAUUCAUAAUAAUAAUAAAAGUCCUCACCAACUCCAGAAUUUGGCACACAGCUGAGACACUGUUUAUUGAGGCAAUGCAAACUCAGGAUGAGGGCAGAUACUUUGCAGUUUUUAGAACAAAACACUGAGCCUUUGAUGUUGGCAUAGUGACUUCUUUCUUUGGGGUGAAUCGUGGGCGGGCUCUGUUUUGUUUGUUUGUUUAUUUUUCUGCGAGGGUUUUCUGCUUCAGAGUAACAUGACAACAGAAGUCUGUGUUAUUGGAAGAGUUUUGGCUCUUUGUGCCCAAAGCAUUAGACUACUGAGUAUAUCAUUACAUGAAUUUGAAAGUGACUUGGACCUUUUCUUAAGGAACUCUCCAGAUGUGUUUCUGUCUUCUUGAGGCCUGACAUUCCUGUCUCUGCUGGUAUUAAGCUGAAGCCACAGGCAUGCAGAAGUUGCCAGUCAGCCAAGAAAUUCCAAGGUUGAACAAGACAUGGAUGGCACCGCCUGCACUGGAUAUUAAGCUCGGCCUGUGAGUGUGGUGGCUGUGUAACCUUCCCACUGACCCACAACACCUUUGUUGAAAGGUGGGAGGCGGCAGAUGUGAAAGUCGGCAGAGCACGCUCACAUCGCUUGGGUACCGCGCUUCAGAACUAAUACUGAGGAGGAAAGGGGCGAGAAUGAAUGGAAACUGUAGGCCCCAUCCCAUCACCGCAGCCACAAACACAGACGUCAGAUACUCACAAGGCAAUUCCUCAGUUUCAAGAUGGAACAACAUGAAGAGCAUGUUAAACAAUUCGCUAUUCCUGGAGGACUAGGAACUGGUAGAGGCUUUAGGCUGAGCAGAGGGAACUGUUUAGCAGAAACUUCACAGAUCUGAUUUACGUUUUAUGAGGAAUUAAGUUACAGUUGGUUUUUUUUUUUUUUUUUCCUUUUAAAAACUAUGGACCAUUAAAACCAACCAGUCAGCCAAAAAUGUAUUUGGGAUUUAACAUUUUCAUUUGGAAAAACAUUUUCACAAGUGACAUAUGCCAGGCACUAAAAGGCCGUGAAACUAUUUUAACAAUAUGAUGGGGCCUACCUUCAAACCAAAGCAAGGUUCAGAAUAACACUGGCUAAGAUCAAGGCUAA